AAUAGGUUUGGUCCUGGCCUUUCUAUUAACUCGUAGCAAGAUUACACAUGCAAGCAUCCCCGCUCCAGUGAAGACGCCCUACAAAUCACCAUGAUAAGAAGGAGUAAGUAUCAAGCACGCCUAGUGCAGCUCAAGACACUUUGCUUAGCCACACCCCCACGGGAAACAGCAGUGAUUAAUAUUUAGCAAUAAACGAAAGUUUAACUAAGCUAUGCUACUAUAGGGUUGGUCAAUUUCGUGCCAGCCACCGCGGCCAUACGAUUGACCCAAGCUAAUAGGCACCGGCGUAAAGAGUGUUUUAGAUCAACAUAAACCCAAUAAAGCUAAACUAUGUCUAAACUGUAAAAUUCUAGCCAAUGUAAAAUAAACUACGAAAGUGGCUUUAAAAAAUCUGAAUACACAAUAGCUAGGACCCAAACUGGGAUUAGACACCCCACUAUGCUUAGCCUUAAACUUUAAUAGUUUAAAUAACAAAACUACUCGCCAGAAUACUACAAGCAACAGCUUAAAACUCAAAGGACUUGGCGGUGCUUCACAUCCCCCUAGAGGAGCCUGUUCUAUAAUCGAUAAACCCCGAUUCACCCUACCAUCCCUUGCUCAGCCUAUAUACCGCCAUCUUCAGCAAACCUCAACAAGAGACUUAAAGUAAGCACAAACGCCCACGCAAAAACGUUAGGUCAAGGUGUAGCCCAUGAGAUGGGGAAAAAUGGGCUACAUUUUCUAUGUUAGAAAAUAUACGAUAGCUCUUAUGAAAUUUAAGAGUCCAAGGAGGAUUUAGUAGUAAAUUAAGAAUAGAGUGCUUAAUUGAAUCAGGCCAUGAAGCAUGCACACACCGCCCGUCACUCUCCUCAAAUAUAUUUAAGAAACGCUUAACUAAACGCCAUAAUAUUUAUAUAGAGGAGAUAAGUCGUAACAUGGUAAGUGUACUGGAAGGUGCACUUGGAUAAAU
rnacentral:ncRNA from 1 species